AAGCAAGCCUGUGGUUGAGUCAGAACAGAAAAGUAGAAAGGCGGAGGAGGUCAAGUAACUGAGGGCAGGUGGAUGCAUGUAUUAGUUUGCUGUGAUGGCUUACAGAGCCAGGAAUAAAGGAGACACCAGCCCUCAACUUGGAUGCCCGGAUGGAAUGGGAUCCAGCGACAGGAUCACCAUCAAGUCAUUCUUCAAAGUGGAAACCUAGCAGUUAUCCUCAACUACAACCUUUUCCAAGACUAAUUGGCUAAGGCAGAAGCUACUCCCUAACAUUCGCCAGCUCCCUCCCUUAUCCAUGACCCCAGUCUUGCCUGAAAGCUCCAACCCUUUUAUCCAGGCCUAACGGCAAUUGUGUUUUUAUUUUAUUUUAUUUAAAAAAAUUUUUUUAAUGUUUAUUUAUUUUUGAGACAGAG